rnacentral:misc_RNA from 1 species
AAGUCGUAACAAGGUUUCCGUAGGUGAACCUGCGGAAGGAUCAUUAAAAAAAGGGUCGCAAGACCUAUUUUUAAACACUAUCGCCGCCUAUCAUCUAUGGGUAGGAUACUCUUGUCUAUGGUGAGAUGGAGGAGGUAGGGUUUUUAAAAUCCAAUUAUUAUUAUAAAAUAUAUCGUCUAAUGACGAACCAAAAAAAUUUAUUAAAACUUUCAACAAUGGAUCUCUUGGCUCUC